rnacentral:rRNA from 1 species
UACAGAGGGUGCAAGCGUUGUUCGGAAUUAUUGGGCGUAAGGCGCGUGUAGGCGGCUUUGCAAGUCGGGUGUGAAAUCCCUCAGCUUAACUGAGGAAGUGCGCCCCGAAACUGCAGAGCUUGAGUGCCGGAGAGGGUGGCGGAAUUCCCCAAGUAGAGGUGAAAAUUCGUAGAUAUGGGGAGGAACACCGGUGGCGAAGGCGGCCACCUGGCCGGUUACUGAGCUGAGACGCGAAAGCAUGGGGAGCAAACAGG